AUUCCAGCUCCAAUAGCGUAUAUUAAAGUUGUUGCGGUUAAAAAGCUCGUAGUUGGAUUUCUGACUUCAGAUACCUGACCCUCCCUCGCUAGAGGUGUGUGUGCCGGAGUAUUUGUAUCAUCCUUUCAGUGAUCGGCUCUACCCUUAACCGGGUCGGAGCUGCUAGCUGGAUCUUUUACUUUGAAGAAAUUGGAGUGUUUAAAGCAGGCUUACGCCAGAACAUAUUAGCAUGGAAUAAUAAUUUAGGACUUUUGUUCUAUUUUGUCGGUUUCUGGGACGAAAGUAAUGAUUGAUAGGGAUAGUUGGGGGUGCUAGUAUUCGGCGGCCAGAGGUGAAAUUCUUUGAUCCGCUGAAGACUAACUUAUGCGAAAGCAUUCACCAAGGAUGUCUUCAUUA
rnacentral:rRNA from 1 species